rnacentral:rRNA from 1 species
CAGUCGCCACGGGAAUACGUAGGGUGCGAGCGUUAAUCGGAAUUACUGGGCGUGAAGCGUGCGCAGGCGGUUGUGUAAGACAGGUGUGGAAUCCCCGGGCUUAACCUGGGAACUGCGCUUGUGACUGCACAGCUAGAGUAUGGCAGAGGGGGGUGGAAUUCCACGUGUAGCAGUGAAAUGCGUAGAGAUGUGGAGGAACACCGAUGGCGAAGGCAGCCCCCUGGGCCAAUACUGACGCUCAUGCACGAAAGCGUGGGGAGCAAACAGGAUUAGAUACCCGAGUAGUCCCUGUCUCUUAUAC